rnacentral:rRNA from 1 species
CACCUCGAUGUCGGCUCAUCGCAUCCUGGGGCUGAAGCAGGUCCCAAGGGUUCGGCUGUUCGCCGAUUAAAGCGGUACGUGAGCUGGGUUUAGAACGUCGCGAGACAGUUCGGUCCCUAUCUGGUGUGGGCGGAGGACACUUGAGAAGAGCUGUCCUUAGUACGAGAGGACCAGGACGGACGGACCUCCAGUAUGCCAGUUGUCGCGCCAGCGGCAGCGCUGGGUAGCUGUGUCCGGAUUGGAUAACCGCUGAAUGCAUCUAAGCGGGAAGCCAACUUCAAGAUUAGGUGUCCCGGGCGCAAGCCCCUAAAGGCCCCUGGUAGAUGACCAGGUUGAUAGGCGGGAGGUGGAAGCGCGGCGACGCGUGUAGCUGACCCGUACUAAUCGGCCGUGCGGCUUGACCACACAA